rnacentral:rRNA from 1 species
UACGGAGGGUGCAAGCGUUAUCCGGAUUCACUGGGUUUAAAGGGUGCGUAGGUGGGUUGGUAAGUCAGUGGUGAAAUCUCCGUGCUUAACAUGGAAACUGCCAUUGAUACUACUGGCCUUGAAUUUUCCGGAGGUAAGCGGAAUAUGUCAUGUAGCGGUGAAAUGCUUAGAUAUGACAUAGAACACCAAUUGCGAAGGCAGCUUACUACAGGGACAUUGACACUGAGGCACGAAAGCGUGGGGAUCAAACAGG